GAUGAAGAACGCAGCGAAAUGCGAUAAGUAAUGUGAAUUGCAGAAUUCAGUGAAUCAUCGAAUCUUUGAAUGCACAUUGCGCCCGCCAGCAUUCUGGCGGGCAUGCCUGUUCGAGCGUCAUUUCAACCCUCGACCUCCCCUUGGGGAAGUCGGCGUUGGGGACCGGCAGCAUACCGCCGGCCCCGAAAUGGAGUGGCGGCCCGUCCGCGGCGACCUCUGCGUAGUAAUCCAACCUCGCACCGGAACCCCGACGUGGCCACGCCGUAAAACCCCCAACUUUCUGAACGUUGACCUCGGAUCAGGUAGGAAUACCCGCUGAACUUAAGCAUAUCAAUAAGCGGAGGA
rnacentral:misc_RNA from 1 species